AUUGAACGCUGGCGGCAUGCCUUACACAUGCAAGUCGAACGGCAGCAUGAUCUAGCUUGCUCGAUUGAUGGCGAGUGGCGAACGGGUGAGUAAUACAUCGGAACGUGCCCUGUAGUGGGGGAUAACUAGUCGAAAGAUUAGCUAAUACCGCAUACGACCUGAGGGUGAAAGUGGGGGACCGCAAGGCCUCAUGCUAUAGGAGCGGCCGAUGUCUGAUUAGCUAGUUGGUGAGGUAAGGGCUCACCAAGGCGACGAUCAGUAGCUGGUCUGAGAGGACGAUCAGCCACACUGGGACUGAGACACGGCCCAGACUCCUACGGGAGGCAGCAGUGGGGAAUUUUGGACAAUGGGCGAAAGCCUGAUCCAGCAAUGCCGCGUGUGUGAAGAAGGCCUUCGGGUUGUAAAGCACUUUUGUCCGGAAAGAAAUGGCUCUGGUUAAUACCUGGGGUCGAUGACGGUACCGGAAGAAUAAGGACCGGCUAACUACGUG
rnacentral:rRNA from 1 species